rnacentral:lncRNA from 1 species
AUGUAUAAUAAUGUUUCUUUUAUGUUCUGUUCCCUUAAGAAUAUUUACCUCACAUUGUUUUUGUUCCAAGAAAGAAACAUGAACACAAGCCUUUUGUGGGUCUGUCUCUGCUCACACUGUGUCUUGGCAAGUUGCACACAGCGUUUUACCUUUGCCACGCCUGUGAGGAAUACUGCGCACUUAAUCAAAUAAUGAGCCACGUCUAUUCCCAAGAGCAUUAUGUCAACUACUUUGUAAGUGAUGAGCGUAAUUGGAAAAACAAAGAUUAAAAGGAAAGAUAUGUGUUAAAAAAGUUAAAAGAUUUUUUGUUUUUCCUCAGAAUUACACAAACCCAGAUGAACUUUGUUUCUCCUGGGUCCCCGGGACGAACAUGAAAAAGAUCCUGGCGUUAAAGUUUGAGCAGGAAGUGCAUAAAAAGGGACUUCAGUACCUGCAGGUUAGUAAACAGAAGGUGUCUGUAAUCCAGCAAUGACUCCAUAGACCAUCAUGUUGGGUUUUUCACGCAAGUUUUAUAGCAGACUAUAUUGUGACUGAGGAAUUUUAUUAUGUACCGCUCUCUGAGCCUAGAAAUCUAGACCCGUCAGUUGCCAAUGCAAAAUGAUUUUGUUCUGCAUGUUUGUCUAGCCACGCUCCAUUGGAAUCUCUACAGUCCUGGUUACUCUGGGGACUGGCCAAUCAUAGUUUUGUGGGUGGGAUUUUACUGUGACUCACCAAAAAUGAGAAGGUAGCGGCUUUGGCAUCAACUUUGGACAAUUUAGAUUUGGUCUUUUCUUUUGAGUCGAGAACAGACAGUUACUUUUCUUUAUUUAGAAAAACGGUGUGUUUUGUCGUCUAACACAAUGUAUGGCAGACUGCCCCGUUAACUCGCAUCCGUAGUGGUGAGGACGUAGAGUUGUUUGUUGACCAAUAGCGUGUGGCGGCAGUUUGAAAGACAACUGUUGGUCUCGCCUCACAACUGAGAGCCGUCAGUGGGUCGCGGCCAGACUAUAUAUUUAGAGAAAUAGGAUGGCUUGUCAGGCUACUUUGACCAUUUUUUCAGUGCUCUUGGGCUAUUUUGAGCCCCAACAAAUUUUCAUGAUAUAGAGGCUCAGACACAAUCCCAUAAUGAAGCCUUCAAUGGAAAGAACGGUUUGCCCUGCCCAGUAGGCCAGGAUGCGACUAUUAAAGGAGCUGCAUGCAGACUGGCCUUUUUUCCCCGAUUCUACCCCCCCCCC